CCCUUUCGAUGCAAGAACUAAAACCUCUCCCGCACCCUUUGACUAUACUCCCCGAGUUUUUACAUAAAUUAUUACAAACCAGAAAAGAGAUCAAAAAAUAAAUCAAAGCCUAACAGCUAAAUCGAAGCAGCCUAAUUCAAUCUUAAUGUCUAAUAACAUGUGAUUAACCAAUUUUGGAUCCAGAUUUCUAAAGCCUUCUCUUUAUCCAAAGUGUUUCAAAGUUCCACGGAAUCUCAAGGAUUCCCGGCAUUGCUUAUACUCGGGACACCAUUAGAAUUAGAAUAGUGCAGUGUGAAAGAGCCAGCCCUCAGUAAUACAAGUUCAGAGGGAGCUCAAAUUUCCCAAAUCAUGGCUUGCAAGAUGGGGCAGAACCUAUUGCUAGGAGUAAGUGUAAAGUGAAAAGGAAAUUGGGGAGCCUUAACAAAUGGUGGUCAUGCCUAGCCACAAGUAUAGGCUGGCACACCCCUGAGCACUUGUUUGGUUAAACAAGUUAGGUGCAGACCCUUGAAGUUCAAACACAAGUCUGGAUAAUGAUUAGGACACCAUCAGACCCAAGUCCAAGGCGCAAACACAUAAAGGGGAAAGAGGAGUGGGAAUUGAUUGAGUUAAGGGUUCAAAGAACCCAGUUUAGAGUCAUAGGUAUUUCACAUAAGAGAAGUAGUAACAAAGUUGAAGGAACACAGUAAAGAAGAGCAUAACAGAACUUAGGAUGUAAACACAUAGUGGAGGAGCAUUAUUUAAACUAUGAGGAUCAUACCAGCUAUAAAAUGAGAAUAAAUAGAAUAACAGAACAAGCAAACAGCAUGAGCAAACUAAAAUUCUCAACAGAACCCUUGAAAGCUCGAAGAGAACUCAAAGGUAUUUCACAAGGUAAAAAGGAGAAGAAGAGAGUGGAAGAGAAAGUAAGAUUACAAUUCGAGAUUCUGUUCAAUUGUCUCAAGUGCAGAAAAAGUGUGUGUCAAGGGCAGAAGGUAAGCCUCCUUUUAUAGUGCAGAAAACAAGUAGGAAGAGGUAAGAAAUAACUUUGAAAAAUCAGUUUCAAUGAUUUCCCUUCAGUCAAGGGAUUUGAUAUCAGAACAUACCAGUUGCAAAAAUAGAAUAAGCAAAAUAACAGAGCAAGCAAACAGCAGGAACAAACUCAAAUUCUCAGCAGAACACUUGAAGGUUCGAAGAGAACUCAAAGGUGUUUCAGAAAGCAAAGAGUAUAGAGAAAAAGAGAGUAGAAAAUAUAGUGCUUAAUACUGUUGUGUGUGUAAUAAUGCAACUCGAGAAUCUUAUUCUGAUUGUAUGUGUCAAGUGCAGAAAAAGUGUGUUUAACUGUAGAAGGGUAGUCCCCUUUUAUAGUGAAGAAAACAAGUAGGAUAAGGUAAGAAAUAACUUCGAAAAUCAGUCUCAA
rnacentral:lncRNA from 1 species